GAAUAAUCAUACAGACAAACCAUGGGUCACAACAGGGGGCUGACAGUUGGCUUGGUAUAUCAGUCGCCACGCCUCUCAACCAACUAUGGCUGCUACCACGCCCACAUGAAACCAAAACACAUGAAACAAAAACACAAAUCUAUCUCUCUCUCUCUCUCAUAUGAAUAUGAAUAUAUAUAUAUAUAUAUAUAUAUAUAUAUAUACAUAUAUAUAUAGAUAGAUAGAUAUAAUGAAAACAAUGUGUUUUCCUAACCUCUAGCUGCGAACUGAAUUUUAAGCAGACACUUCCACAAUUCCUCCAACAUGGGUGAACAAUAGACAGACACUCAUUUGGGGAGUAAUAAAUAAUGUGAUUACAGUGAGUACAUUUUCCCAACAAUCUUAUCUCCAAGUUUGCAAGAAUGUUGAUAACUGUUGAGUCCCCCAAAUAAAUAUAAAGUGUGUUUUUUUAUUCAUUUUUAUUGAGGACUUCACAGAUUAAAAAGUCCCUCCACAGUAAAUCCCAGCUGUGUCCUUGGAGCUGGACCACUUCAGCUCACUCUAACAGAGACACCUGCUACUGAACAUAGAACAUGUUUCUGUCGGUACGUUUUCUCAUUUAUAAAUGUCAACUUGCUGUUUAAAGUGUUAUGAUUGUGCAGAUAAAAUGUUAAUGCCCUGACAGUGGCAAACAGCUUUGGUUCAGUUCUGAUUUGAUUUGAUUAUAUUGAUGUUAAAAUUGAGAUUUACAAGAAAUGGGAAUGCUGUCGUUAAAAAACAUCAAUAUGUUGAAAUUGUCUGCAAAUUUUGUGCAUAGCAGUGCACAAAGAAAAAUGUACUAGAAACUACAAAAAAUGUAUUAAUUCAUCCGAGCAAUUUCUCGAAUGCAAGUCAUGUUAAUUAUCUUGUGAGAUACCUACAAUGUUGUGAAAAAUAAAUGGUAUGGAAACCAUUUUUUAAUGAUUUUUUGUUACCUUUUCGGUUUAUCAAUAGCAUGGACAGAGAAGACAGGCAACACAGUUGCCAUGGUUACCACGGUUCUUAAAUCCGAGUUGCCUUGGGUCUUACAUUUUUACACUGUUACAUUACAUCUUACAAGUUUCACGUUUUUAUUUUUCACUCAAGGAAAGUGAUUGGUGUGUUUUGUAAAAUGCAGUCUGCAGAACCUCCUGCCUUUACUGCUGAACACAGCGCUGUUUAUUUUAAAGUCUGUCCCUUUUGAACCGGUUCUGUGUCUAAAUUGUACCAACACCAACCAAAGCAAUGCCUUGGGUCUCCAGCAAUAGCCUUCUGGUGAGAAUCAGAUGAACCGUUCGCGACUUGUGAGCACACUGACAGAUUAAUACAUUACACUUUCUCAUUGUAAAGUUGACGUGCACCUCAAUUCCUUGUUGUGCCCCAGUUAACAUAGUUAGCUUCAAGGUGUAUUUUGCCCUGACUUAAGCCUUUUAGUUUCUCCUUGGGGAGGGAAAUGAAGCGUGAAUUCAGACAGGAAAACCAUCCCCUCACGCUAGGCUUGACAUCUCGCUCAUACCGCUGCCACACCAGCAGCACAUGUUCUACAGUAUACGGCUGUCACCACCCAUCAGUUGGGCGCUCCCAGCCAAUAUGGGCAAAGUCACACCAUCACCUGCUGCCGUCUCCUUUAAAUGUGCUGUACCCCCGCCACCAG
ensembl:lncRNA